rnacentral:misc_RNA from 1 species
CACCUCAGCCAUAUGUAAUGAGACAUUCUAUGACGCUGGUAACAUCACUAUUCCCUCUAAUGGUAUGUACGAGACAGGCAUACUAUACAAUCAAGACGUCGUGCACUUUCUUCCUGAAGUCUUCCACCAACCAAACUGACCCAGGGAUGGUACUGAUGUUUGGGACAGUUCCCGCUGAUAUCACCACACUACAGAUAAGAGACAGACGAGGUCAUGUGCUCAGCGAUUACAAAGACAAUUCUUCCCUCCCCAUUGGUGUCUCCACACUGGAUGUCACAGAUAAACCCGCUUUGAGGAUCGAUCUGACAAAGUCUCUGAAACAAAGCAGUAAAUCAUCAUUUGCCACUUUUACAACAAAAACAUUAUCGGAAAUGGAAGGUCCUACGCACUUGACGGCUGCUGAGGGCUCCAUCUUCUCCCCAGCCUGGCCGGCGAAUUAUCCCGCUAACAUCACGGUGUUCUAUAACAUACGCACUAAGUAUGACAAUGGGAAAAUUAUAGUGAAGUUCAAGACUUUUAACUUGUCCAGAGGAUCUAUAUUUCUAAUGGGAAGUAGUGACCUGGACUCCGUUACUUACUUUAGUGGUGAAUUAUCAGUUUCUCUUCCAAGUGACUACCACGCCAAGUCAAACAAGGUAGCUGUGACUUUCUUCAGUGGAAACCAAACGGGUCAAGGAUUCCAUCUUGAUUACAACGAAGUGUGCCCAUACAAUAACGAGGAGGUGUCGUGCGAGGAGGCGGACAGAAGAGGACAGAGGCGGACAGUGGUGGUGGUUCUGGGCAGUAUAGGCACCGUGCUGGCCCUGAUUGCACUGGUCGCCUUCUUCUACUGGUAUAUAAAGAAGAACUACCACAAAAUUGGUUACCAGGACUUCUCUGACCCAAGGCAUGGCCUGGUUAAUUAGAGCAAUUUAUACUGCAACCACAGGAACAGAGACUUUCAGAGACUUUUAUGCGUGCUCUUGUUACCUACUAACACAUAAUAAAGUUAAAAAUUCAAUACCUUCAUCAAUAAUCAGUACAUAUACCAGUGGGGGUUGGGAUGUUCACUUGCACGCUCUACCACUGUAUGAAAGUAAAACGCAGUUCCCGGGCAGGGCCCUGUAUAAUACUUCCAAAGCUGUCGGCCGGGAGUUUACCUAUUAAAAAACGACAUUAGGCGAUCUAAGGCGAACCAUUCAUUACUUAAUUAACCGAUUUAUAAUAAUGAUAUUUAGCUGCCUUGACAGGCGUAUCCCAGUGCCUUUCUAAUUUACUUAUUACUUAUUCAUCAUUCUUUUAUUUUAUGCCCAGUCCGUUUUGAUGGACGUAGCUUUGAGCCGUUUUUAUUUAGUUAAUGGUAUUUACACUUAAGUCGAAGUGAACACACGUUAGACGGCAUGUCCUAGUAAGUCCUGCUUAACAUCUGCUUAACUUAUGGUUAAUAAUCGCUCAAUGGGUAAUAAUAAACUGCGUUUAUCAAUGAACCCUGAUUUCUACCUGGCAUGCCCUAAAUCAACGACAGUAACAGAUAAGAUCCUUGAAUUCGUCCUUGCCUACCCCUCUUGUUAGUUUUAUCUUGUGUCAGCAAUAUGGCGGGGUUUAAAGGAACGGUAUAUUGCGUAUGCAUGACGCUUGUCUUACUUAAAACCAGUAUUCCCGCCUCAGCCAUAUGUAAUGAGACGUUCUAUGACGCUGGUAACAUCACUAUUCCCUCCAAUG